rnacentral:rRNA from 1 species
UACGGAGGAUGCAAGCGUUAUCCGGAUUUAUUGGGUUUAAAGGGUGCGCAGGCGGGAGAUUAAGUCGGCGGUGAAAUUUUGCAGCUCAACUGUAAAAGUGCCUUCGAAACUGGUUUCCUUGAGUGUAGAUGAAGUAGGCGGAAUUUGUGGUGUAGCGGUGAAAUGCAUAGAUAUCACGAGGAACUCCGAUUGCGCAGGCAGCUUACUAAACUACUACUGACGCUCAGGCACGAAGGCGUGGGGAUCAAACAGGAUUAGAUACCCCGGUAGU